UACGGAGGAUCCGAGCGUUAUCCGGAUUUAUUGGGUUUAAAGGGUGCUCAGGCGGGCCAUUAAGUCGGCGGUGAAAUUUUGCGGCUCAACCGUAAAAGUGCCUUCGAUACUGGUGGUCUUGAGUGUGGAUGAGGUAGGCGGAAUUUGUGGUGUAGCGGUGGAAUGCAUAGAUAUCACGAGGAACUCCGAUUGCUAAGGCAGCUUACUAAGCCAUAACUGACGCUCAAGCACGAAGGCGUGGGGAUCAAACAGGAUUAGAUACCCGGGUAGUCCCUGA
rnacentral:rRNA from 1 species